UGGGCGGAGGGAGCAGCUGGGGCACAGGCCCUGAGAUGGGAGAGCACCCGGCAAGUUCCAGGAACAGCAAGGAGGUUGGUGCCAUGGAAGGAGAGUGAAAGAGGGAGAGGGUGGCAGGAGUUCAUGGGUGUGGAGAGCCUUGUGGGCCACUGUAAGGCCCAUGGUUCUUGCUGUGAGUGAGGUGGGAGCCAUUGAAGGCACUUGAGCAGAGGAGUGACCUGAUCUGACUUAUCCUUCAAGGCUGGCUAAAGGCGGCAAGUGUGGAAGCUGCUCCCCCAGGGGAUCCUGCUCCUCUGCAUGGCAUCUGCCUGCUGACCCCUGGCCCCCCACUGACCUACACCUAGGACUGUGUGCAGCAGUACUUCCUAAUGCUUUAUUGCUUGAGGCAAGAGGCAGGGGUUGCAAAGAGAAGGGGGGGGAUGAGGCAGCAGUCAGGGGUGGGAGGAAGUGGUUAGGAUCAGCCUGGGUCCUGGACGAUUUACAGGGCAUGUUAUUGUGAAUAGCAGUCAGAACAGGACUCACUGGAGAAUCAAAAUCACCCUUAGUCCCAGGCCUCAGCUCAGAGGGCUUUGAAAAUAAUGCCCCGAAUAACUAAAAAGAGACAGUGCUCUCCUCCCUCCUCCUGCCUCCAGAGGGAUAUUCAUCUGCAAAUAAAUGGAAACCAAAUCUAGCAAUUUGCAUGACUCAAGCUAUCAGUGUAAGCUGCCAGGAUCUUUGCAGAAGAUGCCUGUGGACUGUCGUGUGGUUAUACAAAUGUGCUGCUCUGAGGUGCCGCCCUGUGUGGCAUCUUCUAUCUUCUGGCUGCAGAGGCUCUCCCUGCUGUGUGCUCAACAACCUUUGAACCCUAAGUGCUGUCCAUGCAGAUGAGGCAAAGGGAAUUUCCCAGGUUCUGGGAUUAGGAUGUGGACCUCUUCAGGAACCAUUCUUCUGCCUAUCACAAUGGAUGCCCAGAGGCCUAAGAGAUUGUUUUCGAGCAGAGGAGAGAUGACAGAACCCAGACCAGCCCAGAGAAGAAGGACAAGCAGAAGGGAUGGGCAAGGAAAGACAAACAACAUGGCCUGAUUCAGAGACACUGGCUGAGCGAGCAGGAUAAGAAAAUAACAACAGGGAACAGAUGAGGACCCCUGGUCCAGCAUGGUCUGAGUACAUAGGAAACCUCAAUGAAUGCUAAAUAGUUGGAUGGAUGAAUAGAUGGGCACUCAUCUACAGGAUUCUGAUACAGUCAUGGCAUGCACCACAUUGUCUCAUCUUGGGACUAAACAUCCCAGUAUGACAGCUAGGAAGGAUUCAAUUAAUCCCUAUUCAUUAAUUCAAGGCAGCAUAAGAGAUGAUCCAGGGUGUGGCUUCAGGAGUCAGGCUGCCUGAAUUCAAAUUCCUAUUCCAAGAUUUCCUAGCUGUUCUACCUUGGGAAAGUUGCUAUAUCUCCCUGAGUCUCAAUUUCUCCAUUUGCAAAGCAGAAAUAAUGAGAGUACCAACACAUAGCGUGGUUGUGAGAAUUAGAUUAUUUAUAUUAAGUGCUUAACACAGUGCUUGGUGGAUAGAGAAAACUAAAAAUAAUAUUAAUUAUUAUUAUAAAUUACUAUUAAUUUCAUGGUUGCUUACCGUGUCCUUUUCUUUAUUAUUAAUAAUAAGAUAACAGAGAUACUGCCCAGUAACCCAAUUUCCUUCAGUGUUAGAGUCAAUGGCCUUACAAUGGCCCACAGGGCCCUGCAUGACCUUGCUUCAUGUCUUGUCUGGCCCUGCCUUCCAUCUCCCUCCCUCUUUUCCUCUCUGCUCUUGCCACACUGUGCUUCAAACAUGCCAGGCAUGCUCCUGCUCAGGCUCUUGGCAGCCGCUCCCUACCAGGCUCAUCCUCCAGAGGGCCUCAUGACCCACUCCCUCACCUCCUUCAAGUCUUUGUUCUGAUAUCCCCUUCUCAGUGAGGUCUUCCCCCGCCCCUUUUAAAUUGCCCAUUCUGCCCUAUCCCUGGCACUCUAAUCUCCCUUCCUGCCUUAACUUUAUCCCCAUGGCACCUACCAAGAUGUGACUCACCAUGCACUUAACUUAGUCAUCUUGUUUAUUGUCAACUUCCCAUAGCAGAAUCUCAGAUCUAUGAGGGCAGUGAGUUAUAGCUCUUCUGUUUCCCAGUGCUACAGCAGUGCCUGCGCAGAGUAGGCAUUCAAUAAAUAGUUGUUGAAUGAAUAAAUGAUAUAUUGUGAGGAUAUUCCAGGCCUUGCUGCCUAUGUCCAAAAUCCCUAAUCAAAGUUGAAAGGAGGCAGACAUCCAAAUGGAAGUGGAAACAGUUCUCAGAAACCUAGAGAGGCAUCAUGAAGGAGGUGGCCUUUUCCUUGAGUCUUAGAGGGUGUCCUUAGGUAGAGCUGGGGGUGGGGGACAUUCCAGGCUAUGGCUGACAUCCGCCAAGGCCCUGCAAAGAGGAAGCGUCAGAUGAUGUGCAGCACAGGGGUCCCUUAAAACAGGCCAACCCUUGUUUCAGGGAGAAAGCUUAGAAAGUGGUACAGGUGACUGUAGUGCCAUGAGCUAGGUUUUUGCACAGACUGUAGGGGAGAGUGCCAGGUCAGAGGCAGCCCUGGAAAAUCUCAUCCCAGCCAGGCAGGCAGACCCAGAGAGGUGCAGCUAGCCUUUCCAUCAGCGUGGCAGCAAGAAGGAUGGCCUACACUGAGCAGAUGCAGAAGUGAGCUUUCCUGCCUGCCCCUUUCUGCACUGAGCCUCAGAACCUCCAGCCCACACUGGAGCUAGAGUGAAGGCACUCAGUUGGGGUGAGUGAAGCCCUUCCUCUAGAAGAGUUACACUCAAAAUGGACCCACCUCUUCCACAUGGCAGGAUGCUGCCCCCUCCAAGCAGGGCACAAAGGAGGCUGCCAAGAAGGCAGAGGCCUGGCCUGGCAGACCCAGCUCUGCUCAGCCCCCACAGAUCUGAGCUUGACAAGGGCUGCAGGAAGAAGAAGGGCAGGGCCCUGUGAGUGCUCAGCCUGCACUGAGCCUUCACUCUGGGGUGAGAUGGAGGACCCACAUUCAGAACCUAGCUUUGCCGCUUAGCUGUGCUGGGCAAUACCUUUGAAGUCUCUCAGCCUCACUUUCCUCAUCUAGAACAACUGGACCAGGCUGGGUCAAUCUGGGGUUUGGAAGUGGGAUUCAGAAAAACAUUCAGAAACUUGAAAACUGGGGGGCUCAGGGUGCUGUUCUGGGGAAACCUAUGGAGUCCAUGGACAUGAAAAAGCACAGAAAGCUGGUUCACAGGGAGAGGAGGAGGACGCCUGAGGGAGACCAGGGUGCCCUCAGGGAGGCGAGGGAGGUGCAGCCUGGGUUACUGAUGGCUCUUCCCAAUCCACGGCUGCAUUUCCAGCCCGGGGUUACCUGAGACACCCCAUGUCCUUAUAAUGCAUUCUCCUUUUUUUCUCAAUUUGCUUAGAAAAGAUUUCAAGUGUGUUUCCAUGUGGGGUAGGGCCCACGUGCUCUUUUACAAAGGGCCCUUGCUACUCCUCUGCUAAAGAGGUGGAAACUAUUUCCCCUCCACCCGUCCUGUUGCUGGUUUGCAAUGAAUGAAGCAUCAAUGACAUUCUGGGCAUUCCUGGUCCAGGUAUCAAGAAGACCUGGCAGCUUCCACUUUUGCACUCUUGGAGGAGCCAGCUGCCAUGUAAAAAGUGUCACUUCCCUGAAACCACUAUGCUGUGAGGAAGCCUGAGCUAACCCACUUGGAGAGACCACAUAGAGAGAGUUGUCCCUGGCUAGUCCAGCCAUCCCAGCCCAGUUUCCAGACAGUAAAUGAAGAACCCUUCUUGAAUGUUCCAACCCCAGCAGACAACUCAUGGAACUGUCCAUUUGAAACUGGCCCAAUUUUCCCAUAGAACUGAAGCUUGAGAAACUUACAUUUGUCUUAUGAGUUCCUUUCUCAGGAAAUCGACCAUCAGGCCUCCCAGACAGGAUCAAGAAACUGAUACAUUCCAGAUCACCUUAUCCAGACAAUGAGAGGCCAGACCUCUCGUCUGACCAUCUGUUGCCUGUUCACUAGCUCCUCUUCCUUCCCUGCUCUACAAACUCCUAACUUUGGUCAGCGAGAAAGUCAGAUUUGAGACUUGUCUCCCAUCUUCUGGUGGAUGUCACCCAUAAUAAAGCCUUU
rnacentral:lncRNA from 1 species